rnacentral:rRNA from 1 species
GAGUUUGAUCAUGGCUCAGGACGAACGCUGGCGGCGUGCCUAAAACAUGCAAGUCGAACGAUCCCUUCGGGGGUAGUGGCGAACGGCGGAGUAAUACGUGAACAACGUGCCCUAAAGACUGGGAUAGUCUCUGGAAACGGGGGGUAAUACCAGAUGUGGCUCUGACUCGGCAUCGAGACAGAACUAAAUGGUUUUUCGCUUUAGGAGCGGUUCACGGCCUAUCAGGUAGUUGGUGGGGUAAUGGCCUACCAAGCCGACGACGGGUAGCGGGUCUGAGAGGAUGGUCCGCUCGAGUGGGACUGAGACACGGCCCACACACCUACGGGUGGCAGCAGUUGGGAAUCUUGCACAAUGGGGGAAACCCUGAUGCAGCGACGCCGCGUGGAGGAUGAAGGCCCUAGGGUUGUAAACUCCUUUUUUCGGGAAAGACUUAGGACGGUACCCGAAGAAUAAGCACCGGCUAACUACGUGCCAGCAGCCGCGGUAAGACGUAGGGUGCAAGCGUUGUCCGGAUUUACUGGGCGUAAAGCGCGCGUANGCGGCUUGUUUAGUGUGAAGUGAAAG